UAAGCAAGAUAUGAAUCGUACGGCUCAACCGUAUAAACGUAUUUGAACUGAUUAACUAGAGGGCGAGAGAGGUUACUAGAAUUUCUUGUGUAGGAGUGAAAUCCGUAGAUAUAAGAAGGAAUACCGAUGGCGUAGGCAGGUAACUGGCUCGCACCUGACACUGAGGCACGAAAGCAUGGGGGAGCAAAACGGGGAUUAGAUACCCCGGUAGUCCAUGCCGUAAACUAUGGAUGCUA
rnacentral:rRNA from 1 species